CCAUACGGCCAUAUCACUUUUAAAACACCGGCUCUCAUCCCAUCACCGAAGUUAAGCAACGUCGGUCCUAAUUAGUACUUAGAUGGGUGACCGCUUUGGAAAGCCUAGGUACUGUAAACA
rnacentral:rRNA from 1 species